AUCCAGUUGACGAGUACUACAUAAGACGAAACGUGCGUUCUGGAU
rnacentral:hammerhead_ribozyme from 1 species